GGAAUAUUGGUCAAUGGUCGAGAGACUGAACCAGCCAAGUAGCGUGCAGGAUGACGGCCCUAUGGGUUGUAAACUGCUUUUGCAGGGGAAUAAAGUGCAUCACGCGUGGUGUUUUGUAUGUACCCUGAGAAUAAGGACCGGCUAAUUCCGUGCCAGCAGCCGCGGUAAGACGGAAGGUCCGGGCGUUAUCCGGAUUUAUUGGGUUUAAAGGGAGCGCAGGCUGGAUAUUAAGCGUGACGUGAAAUGCCGCGGCUCAACCGUGGAAGUGCGUCGCGAACUGGUGUCCUUGAGUGCGGUCGACGCAUGCGGAAUUCGUGGUGUAGCGGUGAAGUGCUUAGAUAUCACGAAGAACCCCGAUUGCGAAGGCAGCGUGCGAGUCCGUAACUGACGCUAAAGCUCGAAGGUGCGGGUAUCGAACA
rnacentral:rRNA from 1 species